ensembl:lncRNA
GUUCAAAGAAGGCUGUGUUGAACCUGCUGCACCUGUUGAAGUCUACUGCUGCUCCCCUGAGGACCAGUCACGCAACUGGACCCCUGUCCAGCAGGAGGCGCUGCAGCUGCAGGCUCUGGCCGCUCUGGCCACCGUGACUCCACUGAUGCUGGACGACUACAUGACCUGUCAGGGAAACACCUGCCGUCUGCUGCUGUUGCUGUGGUGUCCCGAGCAAGUCAUCAUCACUCGGAAGUCCAAAGGAAAGAAAACAGAUUCUGUAAAUAGCCUGAAGUAAACGUUUUAUUCAAGGCAGACACUGGGCUAGUCUGAGAACUCACAGCCGCAGACAUGAUCAUCAGACUGGGACCCCUGACCCCUGGAUACUUCCGUCUCCUCCAGGUGUCAGGUGAAGUCCAGAUGCAACCGCAGAACGGGUU